CAGUUCAGCAGAAAAGUGGUUUUGUAACAAUGACUCUUUCAUUCUUUGAGGAUAAAGAGAAGCUGUUCGUGUUUGAUGAGGCGAAUCUUACUUGACUCAUGCUUACAUCAGAUAUUCAGCACAACCCAAGAAAUGACCACUUCUCACUGUGAUAUUUGUCAAUAUGAACUAAAAUUCUGAUGAAAUAUUAUGAAAGUCAUGUUAAUUGUGUCGGUUUAUAUAAAGGCUGAUCCUUCAACAUCAAGUGUAGGAAUGUUUAAGGUCAGAGUCAGGCGAAGGUGCUACACUCCAGAAGCUUGUGAUUUCAAAUAAACCUGUUGGACUAUAACCUGGUGUCGUCUAACUUCAGUCCCAACACUGGCACCUCCACAUCAAGAAUGUUUGAGAGUGAGUUGGACAAGUAUAAGCUGAUCAGAGUGAGUCAGUGUGAAUUUUUGAAAGGUUGAAACCAAGGCUGUACUGAUGCCUGGAUUUACAGUCAAGCAAGAAGGUCACAUUUGAGGUCCUGUGAACAGAAUUCAGAAGUCACGUGUCCAUAACCUUAAAUUCCAGCAGAAAAUGACUGGCCUUGCAGCACCCUGGACCCUUAGGCUAGACAAGGUUACAUUUCCUGCACUGUGGCUUAACGAUGUGCUUACAUUGUUUUUUUAAUUACUCGUGGGUUGUGGGCAUCACUGGCUGGCUGGCAUGUCUUUCCUGUCCCUAGUUGCCCUUGAAAAGGUGGUGGCGAGCUGCCUGCUUUAACUGCUACUGUCUAUCUGCUGUAGGUUGACGCAUAAUGCCCUUAGGGAGGGAAUUCCAGGAUUUUGACCCAGUGACAGUGAAGGAAUGACGAUAUCUUUACAAUCCAGGAUGUAAAAUUACACAAUCACCAAUUCUUUCCAUCACUGAAUAUUUUAAGCAUAAAAGCCAUGGGGCAUAAAAGCCGUCACUGUGCCGUGGGGCGGCACGGUGGCACAGUGGUUAGCACUGCUGCCUCACAGCGCCAGAG